rnacentral:rRNA from 1 species
CGACCGGCGCACGGGUGCGUAACACGUAUGCAACCUACCCUUUACAGGGGGAUAGCCCAGAGAAAUCUGGAUUAAUACCCCAUAACAUUAUUGUACCGCAUGGUAUUGAUAAUUAAAACUCCGGUGGUAAAGGAUGGGCAUGCGGACCAUUAGUUUGUUGGUGAGGUAACGGCUCACCAAGACUACGAUGGUUAGGGGUUCUGAGAGGAUGAUCCCCCACACUGGUACUGAGACACGGACCAG